AGUGAACGCUGGCGGUAGGCCUAACACAUGCAAGUCGAACGAGUGGCGGACGGGGGAGGAAUACAUCGGAAUCUACUCUGUCGUGGGGGAUAACGUAGGGAAACUUACGAUAAUACCGAAUACGCUUGAAUGAGCCGAUGUAGGAUUAGCUAGUUGGAGGGGUAAAGGCCAACCAAGGCGACGAUCCGUAGCUGGUCUGAGAGGAUGAUCAGCACAACUGGAACUGAGACACGGCCCAGACCCCUACGGGAGGCACCAGUGGGGAAUAUUGGACAAUGGGCGCAAGCCUGAUCCAGCCAUACCGCGUGGGUGAAGAAGGCCUUCGGUUUGUAAAGCCCUUUUGUUGGGAAAGCGGUACCCAAAGAAUAAGCACCGGCUAACUUCGUGCCAGCAGCCGCGGUAAUAC
rnacentral:rRNA from 1 species